UUUUUUUUUAAUUUAACGUUUUUUUAGUUGUUGAUGUACCUUUAUUUAAUUAAUUUAUUUAUAUGUGGUGUUGAGAAUUGAACACAGUGCCUAGGCAAGCGCUCUACCACUGAGCCACAACCCAGCCCCUCUCCUUAAUCUUAAGGAGUCAGGAUGAAGGUCUCUAUCUUCCGUUAACUAUUUACAGCUGACAACAGGCAUUGACCCUAUGGGUCCCUGGAGGCAUUAAAAAUCUCCCACUGACUGUUCUCAUGACCUAUAGGACCUGAUUCUUCCACUAAAGGGAAACCAUGCAUAAAUAUCAGUUUGACCAUGAACUGCUAUAACUUGGAAGACACAACUUUACCAAAAGGUUAAAAACAUGAGAAGCAAGUGUAGUGGUACUCUCCAUGCUCUCUCCCUUCUUGGUCCCUGAUGUACUUUCUUUGGAGCAGUGCCCACCUUGAUCUUCCCAACAUCCCCCCUCUUUUAGCUGCUUAGUUAUAUGCUCUGCUCUUUUUCAUUUUUCUUACCCAGUAGACCACUUUUUCUCCUGUGCCCAGCUAAUAUUUUUCCUUGUUUUCCUGCUCUACUGCGUCAUGAAGAACAGUUAUAUAUUUCCCCAUCUGCCAUUCUUUGAGCUGCCAUCUGUGAAUCAUGUGGCUGAUUCAUUAGUGCUCUUGUGUGCAAUCCAUUCUUGUCCUCCAUAUUCACUGUCCAUGACAUAUAGUGAUAUUUGCAUAGACAGACUAUACCAAAUCUACACAUUCUACCUAGCAGCCCAUGCUCACAACUCUUUGGCCACAGGCUAUGGAUACUUUUUGAAACUAUCCAUGGCUCCCUACAAUCUUUCAGAUGUCCUUUCACAUCCUUUCUUUUACACUUGUCUGAAAACAGUCCCGGGAAACAUCUGCAUCUGAUUCUCCUACUCCUGUCCUUGCAUGUCCAACCUGACUUGCUACUGGGUCUCACCACUCUCUCCCUGAGUAUUCCCACCCAUCUUAACCUCUCUUUCUUCUCCCUCAUUAGCUCUCAUCUCUUUUUAGGAGCUCUCUUUCAACACUGGCUCCAGUCCUCUCUGCUCCUACAUUCUCUGUGGACAACCGACCCACUGAACUCUAGAUAGAUGCCACCGGUGUGGUUGGAGACUGCUGGACUUGUCAGCAUCUCUCCCUGACACUGGUCACUGGUGCCUUCCUUUAACUGGUGCCUUCCACAAUGCUCAGAGUCCCUUUUCAGAUCUAGUCUGACUCUCUGUGCUUUACAUUAAAACCAAUUAUCCCAUCCUUUGGGGUAUUCACUCCCUUUCAACUGCCCUUGCUGUCUUCCUCUAAAAAGACUCAACUAUCUAUUCUGAAAAUCUUCUCAGCUAUUACCUGUCUUUAGUUAUUUUCUUACCUCAAAAUUUCUAGAACAAAUAGCCUAAAAGUGUUAACUAUCUUUACUAUCUGCUCAUUUCUCAAUCUGGUUUUCAUUACAACUUCCACCCUCC
rnacentral:lncRNA from 1 species